AGGAGUUUGAUUAUAGCUCAGAUUGAACGCUGGCGGGAUGCUUUACACAUGCAAGUCGAACGGCCAGCACGGACUUCGGUCUGGUGGCGAGUGGCGAACAGGUGAGUAAUGUAUCGGAACGUGCCUAUUGGCGAGAUACGCUACGCGAAAGCGUAGCUAAUACCGCAUACGCCCUUCGGGGAAGCGGGGGAUGCUGAACUCGCACUAUUAGAGCGGCCGAUAUCGGAUUAGCUAGUUGGUGGGGUAACGGCUCGCAAGGCGACGAUCCGUAGCUGGUUUGAGAGGACGACCAGCCACACUGGGACUGAGACACGGCCCAGACUCCUACGGGAGGCAGCAGUGGGGAAUUUUUGGACAAUGGGGGAAACCCUGAUCCAGCCAUCCCGCGUGUGCGAUGAGGCCUUCCGGGUUGUAAAGCACUUUUGGCAGGAAAGAAACGGCACAGGAUAAUACCCCGUGCAACUGACGUUUCUACAGAAUAAGCACCGGCUAACUACGUGCCAGCAACCGCAAUGUACGUAGGGUGCAAGCGUUAAUCGGAAUUACUGGGCGUAAAGCGUGCGCAGGCGGUUCGGAAAGAAAGAUGUGAAAUCCCAGAGCUUAACUUUGGAACUGCAUUUUUAACUACCGAGCUGGAGUGUGUCAGAGGAGGUGGAAUUCCGCAGUAGCAGUGAAAUGCGUAGAUAUGCGGAGGAACGCACACCGAUAGCAAAGCAGCCUCCUGGGAUAACACUGACGCUCAUGCACGAAAGCGUGGGGAGCAAACCGGGAUUAGAUACCUGGUAGUCCACGCCCUAAAACGAUGUCAACUAGCUGUUGGGGCCUUCGGGCCUUGGUAGCGCAGCUAACGCGUGAAGUUGACCGCCUGGGAAAUUACAGUCACCAAGAUUAAAACUCAAAGGGAUUGACGGGGACCCACACAAGGCGUUGGAUGAUUGAUUGUUGGUGGCACGAAAGAGCGCCCACCUACCGUAGACAUGUCUGAGGUCCGGAGGAUUUGAUCUGUAAAGAGCCAGACUAGAGUGCCUAUGAGCUGUCGUCAGCUCGUGUCGUGAGAUGUUGGGUUAAGUCCCGCAACGAGCGCAACCCUUGUCAUUAGUUGCUACGAAAGGGCACUCUAAUGAGACUGCCGGUGACAAACCGGAGGAAGGUGGGGAUGACGUCAAGUCCUCAUGGCCCUUAUGGUAGGGCUUCACACGUCAUACAAUGGUCAGGGACAGAGGGUCGCCAACCCGCGAGGGAGCCAAUCCAAGGGAAACCCGAUCGUAGUCCGGAUCAUGAUCUGCAACUCGACUACGUGAAGUCGGAAUCGCUAGUAAUCGCGGAUCAGCAUGUCGCGGUGAAUACGUUCCCGGGUCUUGUACACACCGCCCAUCACACCCUUGGGUGGUUUUACCAAAGUAGUUAGCCUAACCGUAAGGAGGGCGGUCUACGGUAGGAUUCAUGACUGGGGUGAAGUCGUAACAAGGUAG
rnacentral:rRNA from 1 species